rnacentral:rRNA from 1 species
UACAGGAGGGUCGCAAGCGUUAAUCGGAAUUACUGGGCGUAAAGCGUGCGUAGACGGUUACAUAAGUCGGGUGUGAAAGCCCCGGGCUCAACCUGGGAAUUGCAUUCGAGACUGCGUAGCUAGGGUGCGGAAGAGGGAAGCGGAAUUUCCGGUGUAGCGGUGAAAUGCGUAGAUAUCGUCAAGAACACCGAUAGCGAAGGCAGCCAACUAGGG